GGCUGCAGAGCAGCACCAUUUCAGUCAUUCCCUGAAGCUUGAGGAGGAUGACUAGGUGCCUUGCAGGCUAAUGGUAAUACAUCACUCCAGAGGAACAACUUGCCUUCCAACAGCAUACUGGACAACGUUCCUGACCUGCAGAUAAGCUCAACACAAGGUGUCUCACAAUGCAAGUCUACUUGCAUAUGGAGUUGCCAGCUAACCAGACUAUGAAAUCAUCAAGAGAUUGUGAAAUCUACAGGAAGGAACACACAGCAGGAUGGUGUCCAGUUUAUGAAUAAAGAUCAAAGGACUGUUCUGAUAUAUUUGGGAUUGCAAAGAUGCACUAUAUCCUUUAACUAUGGGACAAGCUGGCAGGGCAUCUUGUCUCAUGAAAAGGAUCACUGCCAGAUUUUGUUGAAAAAUGCUAGGAGGACCUUGCUCCUAGCAUUUUUUGCUCUAGAACUUAUAAGACAUGAAGGUAUCUAGUUAAAUAAGUCUCUUAUCUAGAAUAAGUGUUACGAUUUUAUUUUAUAAGUAACCACCUGUUUCCAGUAUUUCUACUUGCUGCUAUUUGCACUCCUUCUCUUUCUUAAAUAAGAGGUUGUUUUCACAAUAAACAUAUCUAAGUGCUGUGUUCAGUGAUCUGAGGCAAAGCUGUUUCUUUGGGAAUCUGAAUACUGUGCCUAGUGGAUCAGGGGCUGGAGGCUCCAGGGAGGCAUGCAGAGGGUUUAGGGGUUGGAGUGUGCAGAUUGCUAACCUGCAGAGGGAGAGAGACCCCUGCGUAGAAUUAGAGGGGAGUGCUUGUGUUUCCUGUGGCUGGUGGAGUCAGAGCUAACUCAUGAUAGGCACAGACCAGGCUUCCUCACUCUAGGGGCAGGAUUAGCAGAGUGUCUGAUGACCCUAGGUACUCUCAGGAAGUGUCAGGGUAGUGUUGCUUCACAAGUACAGGUGUUUGUGAUGAGAUUAGUGUCACUGACACUUGUUGUGAUUGUUCCUCAAUAACAGAGGGUGUUGUCCAAAACAAGGACAGCAGAAACUGAGUAAGAAUAUCAGCCAAUUAUAGCAAAUGAUACUCCAGUUGUAGCAAUAUAACAUCCACCAAGAAUAAAGCAUUAGGCAUCAGCCAGUGGGCUACUUUGCAUUUGUUUCUUAUUGAUUAAAACACCUUUAUACUAAAGUAGCAUUGUAUCAUGCCUUGGGGGAGAGCAAGCUUAUCACCAAAGGACUUAAGUUUAUGCCUAACUUUGAGUAUGCACUUACUUCCUCAGUGAAGUCAAUAGGGAAUUCUCAGCUGGGAAGAUCUGGCCAAUUUCUAGGCCCUUUGCCACUGGAACAGUACAAAGAGGUGUGAUCACAAGAGAACCUGACCCUGAUUGUUUAUAUAUUAAAAAUAUACCUAUAGUACUGAA